rnacentral:rRNA from 1 species
UACAGGGGGGGCAAGCGUUGUUCGGAAUUACUGGGCGUAAAGGGCCAGUAGGCGGCCAACUAAGUCACACGUGAAAUCCCCAGGCUUAACCUGGGAACUGCGUGUGAUACUGGAUGGCUUGAAUUCGGGAGAGGGAUGCAGAAUUCCAGGUGUAGCGGUGAAAUGCGUAGAGAUGUGGAGGAAUACCGAUGGCGAAGGCAGCCUCCUGGGCCAACACUGACGCUCAUGCACGAAAGCGUGGGGAGCAAACAGG